rnacentral:lncRNA from 1 species
GGGUUUGCGCAGGCGCAGAGCUACGUCCAGGCGGAACUGGGCGUCCCGGGCUCCUGCAACCUGAACACCCGGUGUGAAAGGAAGGUGACAGCAGGGAGGCGGGGCUGGGUGCUGCUCCUGCCCCUCGCCGAGUUGAGAGAGGCGGACCGGGAGCGGAGCAGGGUCGGGAUGGAGCGUCAGGAUGGACGAGGACGUGCUGACCACCCUGAAGAUCCUCGCCAUCGGCGAGAGUGGCGUGGGCAAACCCAGCCUGCUCUUGAGGUUCACAGAUGAUACUUUUGAUCUAGAACUUGCAGCAACAAUAGUUGGCUAAUAACAAAGAGGGGAAAACUAAAUCACAGACUCCGUAAUCCACUAUACUAGAAGGCAGCUAGAACCCCAAGCCGCAUUACAGGAGGAAUGGCUGCCAGAAGCGGCGGAAACUAAGCAGGCCUCCCAUGGGAAGAAGUGGAGAGGAUGCCACAGCUGCAGAGCUUGGAGCCAGCAAGAGAUGCUACGUGAAACUGAGAGGCCCCCCUGAGGUGCACAACCUGAUCCCUUGUUUUUAAAAGCAAAGCACAUUUCCUAAGCUAAUGGCAGGAGUUUCCCUGCAUCUGGUUUGAUCAUAGGAAGUUGGGGAAGUGAAGAUAAACAAGGAGUCACACAGACAAGAAUUUUGCAUUUGUCCGUCUUUAUAGCGGUAGAGGAGACGCCUUUGCCUUGUGAAAAACCUCAAGGCUGCCUAUCUCCUUUGGCUGUUGCGAAGUAAAAAACUAAAUGAUUCUCAUGUAAAACCCUGAAUCAAGACAAACUUUUGCUGGUGCAGAACUGAGCACUGUAGCCUUCUGCUUCAACCUCCUGCAAAUACCUUGUUCAGGAAUAGCUCAGCACUUUCAACAAUGACUUAGCAAAGAUAAUCCAGCUUAAGGCCACUACCACCAUUCAAGAAUCAAAAAGGAAGAAAUAGAAAAAGAACAAGUGAAGAAUACUCAUCAGAAAAAAAUAUUGCUGUAAAGAAGAUGAAAACAGGACUGAACAUUUUUUUUUUUUUUUUAGUGGCCACACUCAACAGCAUGUAGAAGUUCCCAGGCUAGGAGUCAAAUUGGAGCCACAGCUGCCGGCCUACGCCACAGCCACAGAAAUGCAGGAUCCAAGCUGCAUCUGUGCUCUACACCACAGCUUAUGGCAACGCAGGAUUCUUAGCCCACUGAGUGAGGCCAGGGAUCGAACCUGCAUCCUCAUGGAUCCUAGUCAGGUUUGUUAUCAUUGAGCCAUGACGGGAAGUCCAGGAACAAACAUUUUGCUAUGAAUUUAAGAUCCUUAGUGGAAAUAUUUAGCACUGAGAGCACAAAACUGUGAUAUAAAAGGUCAGGGAAGAGACAGUAUGACUACAUGAGAAGACGCAGUGUAAGCUGAGUGGAAAGAAGAAUAAAUGAGAAAAUGAAACCAUCACUGAAAUGAAGGGGAAAUUGGAAGAAUCACAAGGGACGGUAAAGACUGGAAAACACAAUAAAGAGUUUAGAGCAGAAAAUGAUUGAUAAGGAAAUCAAAAAAGGAAUGAAUGGCAUGUCUUUUUCAGUCUCAGAAGAGACAGUGAAAUACAGCCAAUAUUUAAUGAUAUAAUCCAAGGUAACAUUUAUGACAUAAAAAUAAACAUAAAUACACACAAAGUUGUAAGAAUAUUUUGACCAGAUUUUUGUUUUUUGGGGGGUGGAUGGGGGUGAGGGGGAGGCAUUAGGUUUCUUUUUUUGCUACAGCAAAGCCAUACGAUGGUAUUCAGUCAGGUUUUUACCUGAGGUCCUUAGUCAGCUGCCUAGAUACAGCUGAUUCAGAUAUAAGUGAGGUUUUUAGAUCCUCAAAGUAGUUACAUUAACUUUAUUUAGUCUGAUUAAAUAGGCUAAAUUGACUUCAUGCUUUUUGUUUUUUUAAAUUUACCCUCUUUUUUGGUAACCUUUGAAUAUGAAGAGAGUGCUUUAAGUAAGCCUUUUUUUUAAAAUAAAAAUAUUAGAAAACUUAAAACUGUUUCUCUAAGACAGGCUCACAAGGUAUUUCUUAAUCUGAAAGACUUGUUUUUUGAGGGUUGACACAUUUCAACUAAAGUUAGACAAAUUUUGGUUAUUGUUGGUUGACUGAGAUCAUUGAGUCUUAUCACUCCCUUGCUAAGUUUUUAAAAAUACCAAUGGCUGUUUGGCUUCAGAGGACAGAUAUCAAGUCUGUUCCAUCCACAAGUUACCUUAUAGUUUGGGCUUCCUUAACAAAAAGAUAAUUAAAAUGGAAAGUAGUUCAUACAUCUUGUUCAGUGCCAUUGCAUAAACUUGUUAAAACAAUUGGGCGUAUGAGACAAUUCAAAUAAAAGUAGAACUAUUUCAUACAGUUUCAUUCUAUGAAACAUUUUAAAUGGAAUAAAGCAGUAAAAAUGGCUCUACAUUUCUUUAUUUUUUUUUUUACUUUGAACAGUAGGACUUGUUUAUUCCUUAAUACACAGCAAUAUUAACUAAAAUGCACAAACAGAACAAUGGCUAGACAGUCUGAACCUGUCUUUAGAGCACUGAACCCUUCUCUGCACUUCCUUCCCUGUCCCUCCAACCCCCACCACCCCAGUGAUCAGUCAGCAUAGUCUCCAAGGCUCAAGUUUAACAAUCCCAUUCCUCACAUGUGACCAUUCCUAUGAAUUCACAGAAAAAAUACUUAAAAGGUGUUACUUUAUCUACUUUUAACAUAUGUUGUACACUUUUAAACAUCCAGAAAGACUAGAUGUUUCAAAUAAGGAUUUAAGUUUACAUACAUGUGGUAUUGAACAAAUUGCACACAAAGGCCAUAAUCUCAAAGUGUCUUCUAAACAGGAACAUUGGCCUAGAACCCUUCCCCUUCUUAUCUCUGUCAACCUAGUGGACAGGUGUAAUAAGCACUUAGAAGGGACUUUAACAAUUUCACCUCCUCCAGUCGUUUUCAAAACAAUCUUAAGAAUUUUAACACAAAGUAUACACAAUGUAUUUAUUUUCUCACUACUUUUGUCAUACAUUGGCAACCUCUUUAACAUCUAGGAAGAUGAGAUGUAAAUUUGGGCGUUUAUCCUUUAUGUACACUAUAUAUAUACCUAAGUAAAACAGAAUGCACAGACAUACAGGGCAAUGGUUAAACUUGCCUAACUAUAAACAUAUUUAUUGGAAUAAAGCCCUUGUACUCUCUUCUUCCUCCUUGAACCAGCACAAAUGUGCACUGCUCAGAGAGGUGGUUUGAUUAUUCCAUUUCUGAAGGGCAGUACUUCAUGAAUGUUAACAAAAGGCUAUCUACAAAAUGUUAUUUUACUACCUCUACUUUUAACAUGCUUUGUGUACUUCUAAACAUCUAGAAAGACAAGAUGUUUCAAAUAAGGACUUAAGUUUGUCCACUGUAUACACAGUAGUGUUGAAUAAACCACAUGUUAGCAAUGGUUAUAUCUGAAAGUGUCUUCUACACAGGAACACUCGAGUUUAGAACCCUUCAUUUCUCCUAACUCCUCCUUCCCACAGUCCAUCCAACGGUGGGUGCAGGCACAUGUGUCACUUAGAUGUGAUUUACAAUUUCAUUUUCAAAGGUCCUUUUCAGAAAACAGCCUUUCAAUGAAAUUUUAAGCAAGCGUACAAAACGUUAGUUUACUAACUCUACUUUAGUCAUAUAUUAGCAACCUCUUUUUAACAUCUAGAGACUACGUAUUAUAAAAUUGGGCCCAUUUGUCCAGCAUAUACAAAAUGCAUGUAACACAGAACAACUGAUAAGUUGAAAUUUUUUAGUACACACUAGCAAAACAUCUUUUGCAAUCUUCCCUCCCACUUCCUUCAGCCCAAGGAACAAGUAGAGUAUAGGGUCAGAAAGGAGGUUUAACAAUUCCAUUUCCCAAGACAGUAUUUCCCACAUUUUAGAAAGCUAUUUACAAGAAGCAUUAUUUUACUACUACUACUUUUAAAUACAUCAAGCACUUCUAAAUACCCAGAAAGACUAGAUAUUUCAUAUAAGAACUUACUUGUCCA